GACGAACGCUGGCGGCGUGCUUAACACAUGCAAGUCGAACGGAAAGGCCCUGCUUUUGUGGGGUGCUCGAGUGGCGAACGGGUGAGUAACACGUGAGUAACCUGCCCUUGACUUUGGGAUAACUUCAGGAAACUGGGGCUAAUACCGGAUAUGAGCUCCUGCUGCAUGGUGGGGGUUGGAAAGUUUCGGCGGUUGGGGCUGGACUCGCUGCUUAUGAGCUUGUUGGUGGGGUAGUUACUUACCAAGGCUUUGACGGGUAGCCGGCCUGGGAGGUUGACCGGCCACAUUGGGACUGAGGUACGGCCCAGACUCCUACGGGCGGCAGCAGUGGGGAAUAUUGCACAAUGGGCGGAAGCCUGAUGCAGCAACGCCGCGUGCGGGAUGACGGCCUUCGGGUUGUAAACCGCUUUCGCCUGUGACGAAGCGUGAGUGGCGGUAAUGGGUAAAGAAGCACCGGCUAACUACGUG
rnacentral:rRNA from 1 species